rnacentral:rRNA from 1 species
AGCGAACGUUUGCGGCGGGCCUAACACAUGCAAGUCGAACGCACUAGCAAUAGUGAGUGGCGCACGGGUGCGUAACACGUGGGUAAUCAACCCUUCAGCUUGGGAUAACGACUUGAAAGGGUCGCUAAUACCGGAUACGGCGAGAGAGGCUUCGGCAUUUCUCGAGAAAGCCUCGCAAGGGGCACUGAAGGACGAGCCUGCGGCCCAUCAGCUAGUUGGUGAGGUAAGAGCUCACCAAGGCGAAGACGGGUAGCUGGUCUGAGAGGAUGAUCAGCCACACUGGAACUGAGACACGGUCCAGACUCCUACGGGAGGCAGCAGUGGGGAAUAUUGCGCAAUGGGCGAAAGCCUGACGCAGCCACGCCGCGUGAGCGAUGAAGGCCUUCGGUCGUAAAGCUCUGUGGGGAGAGACGAAGAAAGCCGGUGAAGAGCCGGCCUUGACGGUAUCUCCUUAGCAAGCACCGGCUAACUCCGUGGCCAGCAGCCGCGGUAA